rnacentral:lncRNA from 1 species
CACGGCAACUUUAGGAGGAAAUGUUCAUUAUAGGACGCGACCUCUGGGAGGGAAACGACCCAGUCCGGUGAAUAAGUACUUUUGAGCGGAUGGAAAAAUAAAGUCUACAUUGAGAUUUGGAGGGCGAGGUCGUUAUCUAGUCCCCGACCGGCAGACAGCCCGUGUCCAUCUUGGUUAAACCAAAGUCUGGAUAGAAAGACGCAAAACCGCCAAAUGUUCUGAUAAAAGUUCGUCCUGGGAAUAAAUUCACCCUUCGAGCUGAUUAAACGUCGGCCCAACCAAGGAACAGCAGCAGCACCCGCGUUCGGACAAGAGGCUCCGCAGGCAGACGGGACAGCGGAUCCACCGCACGAGCAGAGGUUUGUGAACUUGAGCUGGAGACAGAGCAGCUCGUCCGGGCGGUGGUGGGACGGUCGCUGAUGACGGAACCCCCGCUGCAGUGCCGGCGCGCGCCGCGCGGGGGCGCUGGCGGGAGCCGAGCGACCCGCACCCAGGGUUCCAACAAGGUGAGGCGCCACGAAACCCCCCGGCUGCUCGCGUGAAUGCGGGCUUCCCAAAUGAAAACACCACGGCGAAGUCCGAACAAACAGUCAAACAAAAGGCUGGUCAUUAACAAACACACAACCGUCCAGUCAUUUAAUGGUGACACACAUGAAAUAAAAUGACUAACUUAAUCGAACUUCCAUAUUUAAGCUUUGGACACGUGAGGCUUAAGAAGAAGAAGGAGAAGAAGAAGGAGAAGAAGAAGAAGAUGAAGAAGAAGAAGAAGAAGAAAAAGGAGAAGAAGGAGAAGAAGGAGGAGAAGAAGAAGAAGAUGAAGAAGAAGAAGAAGAAGAAGAAGAAAAAGGAGAAGAAGGAGAAGAAGAAGAUGAAGAAGAAGAAGGGGGAGAAGAAGAAGGAGAAGAAUAAGAAGAUGAAGAAGAAGAAGGGGGCGGAGAAGAAGAAGGAGAAGAAGAAGAAGAUGAAGACGAAGAAGAAGAAGGAGGAGGAAAACAUUCAACACAUCCAGUUGCAGAGGGGAAAUCUUCUCGUACAGGUUACGACUAAGCUUCCCUCUGAGCAAAGCCAGCAGGAGACCCUCUGCUCCACAGCCUGCGUGUCUGUCUGAGCCCAUUCAGCCACAGGAUCCAAGCGGCUCCGGGCCCUUUUCACUCCAAGAAUAAUCUGCCAGUUGGUUCUGUGGACCCCGAGUACUCCGGUGGACCUCGGCCUGCCCACCAACUGUCUGCUGUUACCAAAAUGGUGCCUGUGAGCCAAAGGAAGUGGACCCAGCAGAACCCUGCCAGCUGGAUAGAGCAGCAGCCAUGGAGGUAAAAGACUGUGGAGGAAUCCAUCUGGACGAGCGAGACGCUGAGCAACGCUACCUAAUCAACACUUCAACUCAUCCAAGAUGAGACCAAAUCUGUGUUGUGAUUUCAUUUCAUUUUAUGGCCUUGGGUUGUGUAAGCACUUACAUUAAGAGAUUUUCUCCCGCAGAUCAUCUCAGUGUGGAAGAUGGAAGGAAUAAAUUACUUCAAAACGGAUGCUCA